AAUCUACUAGUGAAGCCCAACCACAGACUUGUCAAGCCCAGAAACAUCUCAGCAAAAUACUGUUAGCAUGAAGAAUGGGGUCUUCUCAUCUAAAAUUGUAAAUCACAAAGACUCCGGAGUCGUAGAGGGUCUUAUUCUCGAGGGCAUUUGCAUUUGUUCCCCUCCAAAUCUAUAAGUGAAGCCAUUCUUGGGUGUGAUAGACAUUUUGUUCAUUGCAUAGUCAAAUUCAUCAAGAUCAAGAUGUUGCUCAUCUAAACUCCCUGCCCCCUCUUCUUCCAUAAAACUCUCCCCAUUAACUACAACAAAAUCUUCUGUAAUAUCUUCAUCGCUGCUAUCUUCCUCAUCACUACCAUAAGUAGUUCUGACAUGCUUCCAGUACACAAAAUUUGGGCGGAUAUAACCUCUGUCACAUUUUUUCAGCAAACAUGGGUCAAA
rnacentral:misc_RNA from 1 species